GGGGCAGCAGUGGGGAAUCUUGGACAAUGGGCGAAAGCCCGAUCUAGCAAUAUCGCGUGAGUGAAGAAGGGCAAGGCCCGCUCGUAAAGCUCUUUCGUCGAGUGUACGAUCAUUACAGGACUUGAGGAAGAAGCCCCAGCUAACUCCGUGCCAGCAGCCGUGGUAAGACGGGGGGGCAAGUGUUCUUCGGAAUGACUGGGCGUAAAGGGCACGUAGGCGGUGAAUCGGGUUGAAA
rnacentral:ncRNA from 1 species